rnacentral:rRNA from 1 species
AGAGUUUGAUCCUGGCUCAGGAUGAACGCUAGCGACAGGCCUAACACAUGCAAGUCGAGGGGCAGCGAAGAGGUAGCAAUACCUCUGUCGGCGACCGGCGCACGGGUGAGUAACACGUAUGCAAUCCACCUGUAACAGGGGGAUAACCCGGAGAAAUCCGGACUAAUACCCCAUAAUAUGGGCUCUCCGCAUGGAGGGCUCAUUAAAGAGAGCAAUUUUGGUUACAGACGAGCAUGCGCUCCAUUAGCCAGUUGGCGGGGUAACGGCCCACCAAAGCGACGAUGGAUAGGGGUUCUGAGAGGAAGGUCCCCCACAUUGGAACUGAGACACGGUCCAAACUCCUACGGGAGGCAGCAGUGAGGAAUAUUGGUCAAUGGUCGGCAGACUGAACCAGCCAAGUCGCGUGAGGGAAGACGGCCCUACGGGUUGUAAACCUCUUUUGUCGGAGAGUAAAGUACGCUACGUGUAGUGUAUUGCAAGUAUCCGAAGAAAAAGCAUCGGCUAACUCCGUGCCAGCAGCCGCGGUAAUACGGAGGAUGCGAGCGUUAUCCGGAUUUAUUGGGUUUAAAGGGUGCGUAGGCGGCACGCCAAGUCAGCGGUGAAAUUUCCGGGCUCAACCCGGACUGUGCCGUUGAAACUGGUGAGCUAGAGUGCACAAGAGGCAGGCGGAAUGCGUGGUGUAGCGGUGAAAUGCAUAGAUAUCACGCAGAACCCCGAUUGCGAAGGCAGCCUGCUAGGGUGAAACAGACGCUGAGGCACGAAAGCGUGGGUAUCGAACAGGAUUAGAUACCCUGGUAGUCCACGCAGUAAACGAUGAAUACUAACUGUUUGCGAUACAAUGUAAGCGGUACAGCGAAAGCGUUAAGUAUUCCACCUGGGGAGUACGCCGGCAACGGUGAAACUCAA